rnacentral:lncRNA from 1 species
AUGUCAUAUCCUUUAAUAUGAGUUGAGCUAGAAUACUCUCAAAACCACCAAAAAGGUGGUACUUUUGAGUUUUUAGCCAUUGGAUGAAGAGAUGUAAGGUUGAGAUGAUGGUGGUAGGUGGUGGUAGGCUAUGAAGCAUGGAUACUUCAAAUUUCAUGCCGUAUCCGUAUCGGAUACGUAUCGGAUACCGAUACGCGCUCGAUACGCGCCCGAUACGUAUCCGAUACGGGAAUGAAGUAUUCGGCAUUUUUAAAAAAUAAAAAAAAUAUCGGAUACAGCUCGGAUACGUGAGGGAUACGGGGGGAUACGGGGGGGACACGGCCAGGUUCUUUUUUGGUCUAAAAUGAUUGAAACUUAAAUUUUUUUUAAAAGCUCACGUCCAAACCUAUUGGAAAGAAGGAAAAGAGUGAGAAAAAUACCAAUAUCUGUUCAAUUUGUCAUUUCAUCUAUCUUUUUGUUCUUGAAUGGUAAAAGGCGCUCCCUCUCAUUCUAUCUUCACACAGUAUUUACUCUCUUCCAUCUAAUUUGUCAACCUAGUAUUAAGCAACAAAGGCUAUAGAAAAUAUGAUUUUUUUUUCCUUCUCUAUUAAAUUGUUAGCAUAUUUUUUUAUUACUAUUUUAAUAAUAGAACUAACAAAUCAGACAUAUAUAUUGAAUGGCUAAUUAUCUAGUUUGUGCGACUAUAUAUUUAUUGUUAUCAUUUGAUCAAGUUGAAUGAUAGUUGGUUUGAUACUUUUUGAAUUAUUAUUUUAUAUGAUUGAUUAUCUUUUUUUAUGAACAUAUGUAGAAUAAUUAUACAAGUUAAUGCAUAUUAGAAUAUAUUCCUUAAUAUAGUCUAGAUAUUCUAAUUGUUCUCAAUAUAUCAUUACAUAUAAUCAACAUACAUUUAAAUAUAUUUAAAAUAAUAUUUUAUUUAAGUAUAUCCCGCGUAUCGUAUCCUAGAAGUUUUAGAAAUUGCCGUAUCACCGUAUCCGUAUCGUGUCGUAUCCGUAUCCCCGUAUCCGUAUCUGUGCAACAUAGGUGGUAGGUGGUGGUUGGUGGAAUAGUGUUUAAUCCAAAGGCUAUUAGUAAUCAAGGAGUAGAUCCAAGGGAUAGAAACUUAGAAGCACCAAGAGGUUGGUGCUUCUAAAAGUAUUCUAGCUCAAU